rnacentral:rRNA from 1 species
UAGGGAAUCUUCGGCAAUGGACGAAAGUCUGACCGAGCAACGCCGCGUGAGUGAAGAAGGUUUUCGGAUCGUAAAACUCUGUUGUUAGAGAAGAACAAGGACGUUAGUAACUGAACGUCCCCUGACGGUAUCUAACCAGAAAGCCACGGCUAACUACGUGCCAGCAGCCGCGGUAAUACGUAGGUGGCAAGCGUUGUCCGGAUUUAUUGGGCGUAAAGCGAGCGCAGGCGGGUUCUUAAGUCUGAUGUGAAAGCCCCCGGCUCAACCGGGGAGGGUCAUUGGAAACUGGGAGACUUGAGUGCAGAAGAGGAGAGUGGAAUUCCAUGUGUAGCGGUGAAAUGCGUAGAUAUAUGGAGGAACACCAGUGGCGAAGGCGGCUCUCUGGUCUGUAACUGACGCUGAGGCUCGAAAGCGUGGGGAGCAAACAGG